GACUAUUUCAUUUCUGUUCUCUAGCAAUUACAGCUUCUGGGAGAUUGUUUUGAUGUUUUUGAUUGGACUUGUGAUAAGCACCCAAAAAUUUUGGGGGAGCCAGUCUUUAAAACUAGCCAUUAAGGAAGGAAGAACCAAACACUUAAAUACUCCACCAAACAUAUCAUACUACUCGAUAUAGGACUUAGACACUCAAUAGUAUCAAAGUUCCUAUCAAUUUGUCUCAUAUUAUUCUGCCAUUUUUUUCUUCGUGAUACUUUGCAUUUUGUCUGGAUAUUCUUUUCUUUUUUUGAUAGGAAUGAGAAGAGAUGGAGAGUUUAUGAGAGAAGGAAGAGAAUUACUUAGUUAAAUAACCUAACUGCUUAUUACAGUUAGGAAGGGCGGGAAUAACGGUUGUAUAAAUAGUUGGGUGUUUAGGAAGAGAAGGACUUUUGGUAGUUGAUUGUGAAAGGGGUGAAGCCCUUGUUUCUGUAAGUGUACAAAGAAUUCUUUUGUGAAUAAUACACAAAAUUGUUUCCAUUCUUAUUAUCUUUCUAUUCUGAGAGGUAAACUAGAGGGUUCUUGAUUAGGUUUCUUAAUCAGAAACCUGUCAUUUUUGCUGUUUGAACGGCGGCGACGGCGGACGGGUCGGAAAGAAGCGACGCGUCGCGUCUGGUGCGGAGGCUUCGGAGGACGAGACCACUAGGGUUUGCUUGCGCUUCUCAAGGCGCACCUAACCCUUGACUUCGCCGGAGAAAGCGAUGUUGGGCGGCAGCGGCGGCGACAACGGCAGACAGCGGAGCGAACAACGGAAAUGACAGAGAGACGAUGCCGUCGACGAUAGACGAAGAAGACACAAGGAUCUCCUCGUCAAAGCCUCUGAAAGACCCUUCCGAAAAAGAUUCUUGGUUUUUCGUUGCCAAUACUGAAACCAAUGUACAACAUCGCCUUCCAUGUUGAUCAAGGCCAACUUUAAGCAUUCUAUAUCAAAAAAUAUCG